AACGCACCUUGCGCCCCUUGGUAUUCCGAGGGGCACACCCGUUUGAGUGUCGUGAAAUUCUCAACCUUCUCGGUUUUCUUCUGGACACCGAAGGAGGCUUGGACAUUGGAGGCCUUUGCUGGCGUCUCUUAGACCCAGCUCCUCUUAAAUGAAUUAGCGGGGUCCUCUUUGCCGAUCCUUGACAUGUGAUAAGAUGUUUCCAUGACUUGGUUUCUGGCUCUGUUGCAUUUGGGACCCGCUUCUAACCGUCUCGACGAGACAACGUUUGGGCGUGUCUCCCUUCUCGGGAGACUCUCUCAACCCCCACGAACCCUUGACCUCAAAUCGGGUGAGACUACCCGCUGAACUUAA
rnacentral:misc_RNA from 2 species